rnacentral:rRNA from 1 species
CCUACGGGUGGCAGCAGUGGGGAAUAUUGCACAAUGGGCGAAACCCUGAUCCAGCGAAGCCGCGUGAGUGAAGAAGUAAUUCGGUAUGUAAAGCUCUAUCAGCAGGGAAGAAAAUGCCGGUACCUGAGUACGAAGCCGCGGCUCACUACGUGCCAGCAGCCGCGGUAAUGCGUAGGGGGCAAGCGUUAUCCGGAUUUACUGGGUGUAAAGGGAGCGUAGGCGGGAGUGCAAGUGUGGAGUGAAAGGCGGGGGCUCAACCCCCGGACUGCUCUGGAAACUGUACGGCUGGAGUGCAGGAGAGGUAAGUGGAAUGCCUAGUGUAGCGGUGAAAUGCGUAGAUAUUACGAGGAACACCAGUGGCGAAGGCGGCUUACUGGACUGUAACUGACGUUGAGGCUCGAAAGCGUGGGGAGCAAACAGGAUUAGAUACCCUUGUAGUC